CUAAUACAAAAUUUCAAAUUCAAAUUAUGAACGAUCUCAAUAGUUACAUGAAUACAUAUUUUAUCCACAAUAAAAUAAUAUAAACAUUCAAACGAUUUGACUAUUGCACAAGGUACAUCUAUUACAGUUUGAACCCUUUAAAUAUAAUAUUAAAAUAUUUUGUAAAUAAAUUUUAAGACACGAUAAACCACGGCUCUGAUACCACUGUAGGAUUGCGUAUGAGUGUUCGUAACACGCAGCGGAAGAAAAUAACAAUCCUAGGUAGAUUUUCUCAUGUUUAAAAUUUAUUUACGUGUCAAAAAUAGAAUUUAAGACGUACCUGGUGAAGAGAGUUUCUUUUCCGAAAUUUCUUCGAUAGUGCGAAGACUC
rnacentral:lncRNA from 1 species